rnacentral:rRNA from 1 species
UCCUACGGGGCGCAGCAGUAGGGAAUCUUCCACAAUGGGCGAAAGCCUGAUGGAGCAACGCCGCGUGGGUGAAGAAGGUCUUCGGAUCGUAAAACCCUGUUGUUAGAGAAGAAAGUGCGUGAGAGUAACUGUUCACAUUUCGACGGUAUCUAACCAGAAAGCCACGGCUAACUACGUGCCAGCAGCCGCGGUAAUACGUAGGGAGCAAGCGUUAUCCGGAUUUAUUGGGUGUAAAGGGUGCGUAGACGGGAAUGCAAGUUGGUUGUGAAAUCCCUCGGCUUAACUGAGGAACUGCAACCAAAACU